rnacentral:rRNA from 1 species
AUUGAACGCUGGCGGCAGGCCUAACACAUGCAAGUCGAGCGAGUGGCGGACGGGUGAGUAAUGUCUGGGAAACUGCCUGAUGGAGGGGGAUAACUACUGGAAACGGUAGCUAAUACCGCAUACCAUCAGAUGUGCCCAGAUGGGAUUAGCGAGUAGGUGGGGUAAAGGCUCACCUAGGCGACGAUCCCUAGCUGGUCUGAGAGGAUGACCAGCCAAACUGGAACUGAGCCACGGUCCAGACUCCUACGGGAGGCAGCAGUGGGGAAUAUUGCACAAUGGGCGCAAGCCUGAUGCAGCCAUGCCGCGUGUAUGAAGAAGGCCUUCGGGUUGUAAAGCACUUUCAGCGAGGAGGCGUUACUCGCAGAAGAAGCACCGGCUAACUCCGUGCCAGCAGCCGCGGUAAUUC